GCUUGAGGUCGGAAGGGCGGGGCAAAGGCGGGCGCCUCAGGGGAGACUUUCCUCUUUCCCCUCUCCUGGCUUUCUGCGCGGAUGGGAGGCCACCAGAUCCCGCUCACAGUUUUCCACCCUAUAUAAUAUUUCUGAAGAAGAACUGAGGCCUCUGAAGUAUGAGUAACAGCAAUCGUUAAUAAUCAUCAUCAUUCGUGUUGGGAUGUGAAGCGUGCGUUUUUCAGCAGGUUAAAAUUCACUUCCCAGUCUGACUCAUCAUAUACACAGAAGAGAGAGAGAAAAUGAAACCCCUCUAAUAAAAAUCGAAAUCGGAUCCAAAAGUAUUCAAGUCACAUUUUCUGAAAGGCCUUGGAAAUUUCCCGUCCUUUUCUCUCUCUUUCUCUUGGCCAUGUUUUUCUUUUUUUACAAAAAUGUUAAAGAAAUAGACAACAUGCAAGCAACAACGGGUGAGAAAGGAAAUUCAAGGAGACAAGUGUAUCUUAUAUUAAUCAAACCUGCUCAUGCAUUUAUCUCUGUGUCAUGUGAUCAGUUAUACUGUAAAUGUUGGAGUCAGUUGACUUAUUGAUAAAUGUGGCCCAUUUUUUUAAAUCCAUCCUUCAAUCAACAGUUCUCUGCAGAAACGGAAUAACUGCAUAAUUUUCCAGAUUUGAAAACAGAAAAAUGAACGAUUCCAUAAUUUGAAAGAUAAAAGGAAAUAACUUGUCUCACUUGUCCUCUUCUGAGUUGCAAAAGAAUUUGUAUCUACAAAGGCAUUUACAAAACCUGUUAAGUCUUCCAGAAUUAAAGGGUGUAUGCCAGAAA